AUGGCGGUAUCCUAUGGAACUGCACCGUCUAAUCGUUUUUGACAGCAAAUUGAAUUUUCUUUGGAUCGACUGCUUGGAUUCUAACGGACCGAGACGGAAGU
rfam:Sporomusa malonica strain DSM 5090 genome assembly, contig: Ga0070592_121